AGUGAACGCUGGCGGUAGGCCUAACACAUGCAAGUCGAACGGCAACACACUAAGAUCUUGCUCUUACGGGUUGCGGGUCGCGUACGUAAGACGUAUGCAUCGUGAUCUACUUUUUCGUGUAGCUUAACGAAAGUGAACUUACUCCAAUACCGCAUACGACCUUCCGUGGAGAGCAUUGGAUCGUCUCACCUUUCGGGGUUGGAUUAGCCGAUGUCGGGUUGGAUAGUUGGCGGGUUAAUUGCCCACCCAGUCGACGAUCCGUAGCCUGACGGAGAGGAUGAUAAGCGACACUGGAACUGAGACACGGUCAAGGCUCCUAAGGGAGGCAGCAGUGGGGAAUAUUGGACAAUGGGCGCAAGUCUGAUACAGCGAGACCGCGUGGGUGACGAAGGCGUUCGGGUUGUAAAGACCUUUUGUUGGGAAAGAAAAGCAGCAGGUUAAGACGAAGCUGUACUGACGGUACCGAAAGAAGAAGCACCGGCUAACUUCGUG
rnacentral:rRNA from 1 species